rnacentral:rRNA from 1 species
GUGAGGAAUAUUGCGCAAUGGAGGCAACUCUGACGCAGCCAUGCCGCGUGCAGGAAGAAGGCGCUACGCGUUGUAAACUGCUUUUAACCGGGAAGAAACCCCAGGACGUGUCCUGGGUUGACGGUACCGGAGGAAUAAGCACCGGCUAACUUCGUGCCAGCAGCCGCGGUAAUGCGAAGGGUGCAAGCGUUAUCCGGAUUCAUUGGGUUUAAAGGGUGCGUAGGCGGAGCGUUAAGUCAGUGGUGAAAUCCUGCAGCUUAACUGUAGACUUGCCAUUGAUACUGGCGCUCUUGAGUGCGCUUGAAGUGGGCGGAAUGUGCCGUGUAGCGGUGAAAUGCUUAGAUAUGGCACAGAACACCAAUUGCGAAGGCAGCUCACUAAGGCGAUACUGACGCUGAGGCACGAAAGCGUGGGGAUCGAACAGGAUUAGAUACCCGUGUAGUCC